CUAAAUAAAAAUGGUUUUUUUUACACAUAGUUUAAUAAAGAUUACAGUUCUGAUUAUUACAAUUUGGGUUAUGCCUUCUACUUCUAAUAAGCAUGUAGAAGCAGCAAUAGCAAGAUGUACAAAAAUGCAUGUGAAGCUAUGUGGAUAUACUAGUA